GUGAGGGAGCUGGGGCUGUCGGGUGUUAAAACCCGAGGAAGUUCCGCCCACCACACCGGAACGUGGUGCCGCAAGGCACCUCCUGAAAGGGAGGGCAACGGCGCAGAAACGACACGUCCUCUCACGUAUGAGAAUGAAGGCGGAGAAAGGAACUCGUAAGAGUUCCCGAGAUAACCCGCCGACGACUUGAGAGGGAACGGUGAAACGGCCGCCCCACGUGGUGCAAGGCCGAGAAAGGGGCGAUGAGUUCCCGGUGGGAGUCCCGUGGUAGGCUGCUCAGUCGAAUGCCCCAGAGUACAGAAGGCGGGCUAUAGCUCCCUCAC
rfam:Thermococcus sibiricus MM 739, complete genome.